rnacentral:rRNA from 1 species
GCUCAGAACGAACGCUGGCGGCAGGCUUAACACAUGCAAGUCGAACGCCCCGCAAGGGGAGUGGCAGACGGGUGAGUAACGCGUGGGAAUCUACCCUUUUCUACGGAACAACUGAGGGAAACUUCAGCUAAUACCGUAUACGGCCGAGAGGCGAAAGAUUUAUCGGAGAAGGAUGAGCCCGCGUUGGAUUAGCUAGUUGGUGGGGUAAAGGCCUACCAAGGCGACGAUCCAUAGCUGGUCUGAGAGGAUGAUCAGCCACACUGGGACUGAGACACGGCCCAGACUCCUACGGGAGGCAGCAGUGGGGAAUAUUGGACAAUGGGCGCAAGCCUGAUCCAGCCAUGCCGCGUGAGUGAUGAAGGCCCUAGGGUUGUAAAGCUCU